rnacentral:rRNA from 1 species
UACAGGGGGUGCAAACGUUGCUCGGAAUCAUUGGGCGUAAAGCGCACGUAGGCGGUCUGUUAUGUCGGAUGUGAAAGCCCUUGGCUUAACUGAGGAAGUGCAUCCGAAACUGGCAGGCUAGAGUACUAAAGAGGGUCGCGGAAUUCCCGGUGUAGAGGUGAAAUUCGUAGAUAUCGGGAGGAACACCGGUGGCGAAGGCGGGGACCUGGGUAGAUACUGACGCUGAGGUGCGAAAGCGUGGGGAGCGAACAGG